ensembl:lncRNA
AAAGGUCUUGGUAAUCUGAGUUUUCUUUAAUUCGGUUUUUUGAGGGGUGACUCAAGCCCCACAAAGCAGUCAAAGAUCACAAGGAUUAAUGAUGGGGUCUAAAAUACUUAUUCACUCUGAGCUAGAGACAAACAUUUAAACACACCACACUAAAAUGACAGACUAACAGAAAUGUAAAGCUACCCUAGUUACUGGAACUAGCACCCUGACGCCCUUCUUGUCUUUCAGUACGCCCCUAAUUGACAAUAAGGAACCCAGUGACAUCACUGAAAAUAAGUACUGGUUGUGUUAAUACUAAUGAGACCACAUUUUUGUGACAAAUAUUACAUUUAUCUGUAGUUGUCUAGUUUUCUCCCAAGACAAUCCAAACUUUUGAAAUUACAAAAUGAUGCUUUGGGGAUUCUUCCCAACCAAGUCUCAGUCAGUUUUCUGAAAUGUAUGAAAAUAAAAUGAACAAAUAACAUAACAGUUGAAGAAGUUGUAUUCUAAAAAGAUACACGUUAAUCUACGAUAGAGAGCGUACAGACCUGUACUGAAUUAAAGCAGUAAAAACAAAACAAAAAGUUAACCAUUGAAUAUUAAAUACUGUAUGUUUUUUUUACAGCAAACACGUUUUGUAAUGAAGAGAGCACGAUAUGCAAUCCACAUUUCAUGGCCAUCUGGCCUCUUUGUCCUUGUCCUCCACCUCUGUGGAAGAAUCUCACACAUUUGCACUGCUUUGAGCUAGUCCUCACUUACUAGAUGAAAAUCAUCUCCAUACAUGGUAUCGGUUCAUAUAGUGAGAAUAUUCCAGUCAUGGAGUGCAAGCCUUUUCAGGAAGUUGAGUCCUGGGCUUUUUGUGAUGAUUCCAAAGGGGUUCUGGGUAACAGCGAGACCAGAUUGGUACCCAUAUUGCACAGUCCACACAGACCCAGUAGACCCAGAGACAGAUCCCUCUGUAGCAAUUUAACAAAAUCAAACGUGUAUAAGAAGUCCACAUAGUGGACUGAUGAACACUGACAUUAGACAGUACGGAGCGAUUGUCAGUUUUUGCUGCCUCGAGAAUAGUUUUAAAUGGCCGCCGAGUCAAAUUGUGGCCCUUAAUACACUAGAAAUGUAGUGGCAGAACGUGAAUCAGGGCGGCCAUGCCAGACAGCUCAAUGACACACAGUUGACGUUCUUCUGUAUUGAGGAAUGGGUUCAGAUUCCUCCAAGUUGUUGUGAGGCACUGAUCAACAGCUAUUGGAAAUGUUCAGUCAGUCAUA